AUUGAACGCUGGCGGCAUGCCUUACACAUGCAAGUCGAACGGCAGCACGGGUGCUUGCACCUGGUGGCGAGUGGCGAACGGGUGAGUAAUACAUCGGAACAUGUCCUGUAGUGGGGGAUAGCCCGGCGAAAGCCGGAUUAAUACCGCAUACGAUCCACGGAUGAAAGCGGGGGACCUUCGGGCCUCGCGCUAUAGGGUUGGCCGAUGGCUGAUUAGCUAGUUGGUGGGGUAAAAGCCUACCAAGGCGACGAUCAGUAGCUGGUCUGAGAGGACGACCAGCCACACUGGGACUGAGACACGGCCCAGACUCCUACGGGAGGCAGCAGUGGGGAAUUUUGGACAAUGGGCGAAAGCCUGAUCCAGCAAUGCCGCGUGUGUGAAGAAGGACUUCGGGUUGUAAAGCACUUUUGUCCGGAAAGAAAUCCUUGACUCUAAUACAGUCGGGGGAUGACGGUACCGGAAGAAUAAGCACCGGCUAACUACGUG
rnacentral:rRNA from 1 species